rnacentral:rRNA from 1 species
CCUACGGGGGGCAGCAGUGGGGAAUCUUGCACAAUGGAGGAAACUCUGAUGCAGCGAUGCCGCGUGAGUGAAGAAGGCCCUUGGGUUGUAAAGCUCUUUUGUCGGGAAAGAUAAUGACUGUACCCGAAGAAUAAGGUCCGGCUAACUUCGUGCCAGCAGCCGCGGUAAUACGAAGGGACCUAGCGUAAUUCGGAAUUACUGGGCGUAAAGCGCGCGUAGGCGGUUAAGUAAGUUAAUUGUGAAAGCCCAAAGCUCAACUUUGGAAUUGCAAUUAAAACUACUUAGCUAGAGUUUAUCAGAGGAAAGCGGAAUACAUAGUGUAGAGGUGAAAUUCGUAGAUAUUAUGUAGAACACCAGUUGCGAAGGCGGCUUUCUGGGAUAACACUGACGCUGAGGUGCGAAAGUAUGGGUAGCGAAGAGGAUUAGAUACCCCCGUAGUC